GAUUAAGAGCUGGAUUGCUUCAUCACCUCCCUUUCCAGAAGUGCCAGAGCAGAUAUGAUGUGCCAGAAGCACAUUCCCAGCUAUAGAAGACAGAGGACUUUGCAGGAUCAAGCUGUCUGGGGUGACAUGGCAUUAGAAGAGAAAGGGGUUCCAAAGGAUUAAGCAACUUGCCUAGGAUGCAGAGCUAUUGUUGUCAUCAAUAUCCCUUUAUCCACAUUUGGGUUUCUCUUCAUCAUGGCGUUUAAUGUCAUAUAAUGUCUGGCCUCAGACAGCAUU